rnacentral:rRNA from 1 species
GAUGAACGCUGGCGGCGUGCCUAAUACAUGCAAGUCGAGCGGACAGACGCUGAUCUUGCUCCUCUGACGUUAGCGGCGGACGUGUGAGUAACACGUGUAUAACGUACCUAUAAGACGGGUAUAACUUCGGGAAACCGGCUCUAAUACCAUAUAAUCUAUUGAACCGCAUUGUUCGAUAGUAAGAGACGGUUUUUCUGUCACUUAUAGAUGGAUCCGCGCCGCAUUAGCUAGUUGUUAAGUUAACGGCUUACCAAGGCAACGAUGCGUAGCCGACCUCAGAGGGUGAUAGCCCACAUGGGAACUGAGCCACGGUCAAGACGACUAAGGGAGGCAGCAGAAGCGAACCUUCCGCAAUGGGCGAAAGCUUGACGGAGUAAGGCCGAGUGAGUGACGACGGUCUUCGGAUCGUAAAACUGUGUUAUUAGGGAAGAACAAAUGUGUAAGUAACUAUGCACGUAUUGACGGUAACUAAUAAGAAAGCAACGGCUAACUACGUG